UGUUGAUGGUAUGGAUUCUGAGUC
rnacentral:piRNA from 1 species